rnacentral:lncRNA from 1 species
UUGGGACAUUUUUUGGGUAUAUUUUGGGUGUAUUUUGGGUCAUUUUUUUGGUCCAUUUUGGGGUAUUUUUUGGGUAUAUUUGGGACAUUUUUUGGGUAUAUUCUGUGUGUAUUUUGGGACAUUUUUUGGGUCCGUUUUGGGACAUUUUUGGGGUAUUUUUUGGGUAUAUUUGGGACAUUUUUUGGAUAUAUUUUGUGUGCAUUUGGGUCAUUUUUUGGGUAUAUUUUGUGUGUAUUUUGGGUCAUAUUUUGGUUCCAUUUUGGGACAUUUUUGGGGUAUUUUUUGGGUGUAUUUGGGACAUUUUUUGGGUAUAUUCUGUGUGUAUUUUGGGUCAUUUUUUGGGUCCAUUUUGGGAUAUUUUUUGGGUGUAUUUGGGACAUUUUUUGGGUAUAUUCUGUGUGUAUUUUGGGUCAUUUUUUGGGUCCAUUUUGGGACAUUUUUCGGAUAUUUUUUGGGUAUAUUUGGGACAGUUUUUGGGUAUAUUUUGUGUGCAUUUUGGGUCAUUUUUGGGUCCGUUUUGGUACAUUUUUUGGAUAUAUUUUGUGUGUAUUUGGGGCAUUUUUUGGGUAUAUUCCGUGUGUAUUUUGGGUCAUUUUUUGGGUCCAUUUUGGUUCAUUUUUUGGAUAUUUUUUGGGUGUAUUUGGGGCAUUUUUUGGAUAUAUUUUUUGGGUAUAUUUGGGGCAUUUUUGGGGUAUAUUUUGUGUGUAUUUUGGGUCAUAUUUUGGUUCCAUUUUGGGACAUUUUUGGGGUAUUUUUUGGGUAUAUUUGGAACAUUUUUCGGGUAUAUUUUGUGUGCAUUUUGGGUCAUUUUUUGGGUCCAUUUUGGGACAUUUUUGGGAUAUUUUUUGGGUAUAUUUGGGACAUUUUUUGGAUAUAUUUUUUGUGUAUUUUGGGUCAUUUUUUGGUUCCAUUUUGGGACAUUUUUUGGAUAUAUUUUGUGUGUAUUUGGGACAUUUUUUGGGUAUAUUUUGUGUGCGUUUUGGGUCAUUUUUUGGGUCCAUUUUGGGACAUUUUUCAGAUAUUUUUGGGUGUAUUUGGGACAUUUUUUGGAUAUAUUUUGUGUGUAUUUUGGGUCAUUUUUUGGGUCCAUUUUGGGACAUUUUUGGGGUAUUUUUUGGGUAUAUUUGGGACAUUUUUGGGGUAUAUUCUGUGUGCAUUUUGGGUCAUUUUUUGGGUCCAUUUUGGCCCAUUUUGGCCCAUUCCCAGGUGGAGUACGACGGCCUGACCGGGCGCGUGGAGUUCAACAGCAAAGGGCAGCGCACCAAUUACAGCCUGAGGGUGCUGGAGAAGGGCAGGGAUGGACACAGGGAGGUGAGUGACCCCGG